rnacentral:rRNA from 1 species
UACGUAGGGUGGAGACGUUAAUCGGAAUUACUGGGCGUAAAGCGUGCGCAGGCGGUUCGUUAAGUCAGAUGUGAAAGCCCCGGGCUCAACCUGGGAACUGCAUUUGAAACUGGCGGGCUUGAGUGCGGCAGAGGGGGGUGGAAUUCCGCGUGUAGCAGUGAAAUGCGUAGAGAUGCGGAGGAACACCGAUGGCGAAGGCAGCCCCCUGGGCCGACACUGACGCUCAGGCACGAAAGCGUGGGGAGCAAACAGG